UGAAUGGAUGUUGUGGUUAGUGCA
rnacentral:siRNA from 1 species